rnacentral:rRNA from 1 species
UCUACCUAGUAGUAUAGGAUAGCCACUAGAAAUGGUGGGUAAUACUGUAUAAUCCCUGCGGGGGAAAGAUUUAUCGCUACAUGAUGAGCCUAUGUUAGAUUAGCUAGUUGGUGGGGUAAUGGCCUACCAAGGCAGUGAUCUAUAGCUGGUCUGAGAGGAUGAUCAGCCACACUGGAACUGAGACACGGUCCAGACUCCUACGGGAGGCAGCAGUGGGGAAUAUUGGACAAUGGGCGCAAGCCUGAUCCAGCUAUGCCGCGUGAGUGAGGAAGGCCUUAGGGUUGUAAAACUCUUUCAGUGGGGAAGAUAAUGACGGUACCCACAGAAGAAGUCCCGGCAAACUCCGUGCCAGCAGCCGCGGUAAUACGGAGGGGGCAAGCGUUGUUCGGAAUUAUUGGGCGUAAAGGGCAUGUAGGUGGUUUGGUAAGUUAAAGGUGAAAUGCCAGGGCU